rnacentral:rRNA from 1 species
AUUGAACGCCGGCGGCAGGCUUAACACAUGCAAGUCGAGCGGGGUGAUGGUGCUUGCACUAUCACUUAGCGGCGGACGGGUGAGUAAUGCUUAGGAAUCUGCCUAUUAGUGGGGGACAACAUCUCGAAAGGGAUGCUAAUACCGCAUACGUCCUACGGGAGAAAGCAGGGGAUCACUUGUGACCUUGCGCUAAUAGAUGAGCAUAAGUCGGAUUAGCUAGUUGGUGGGGUAAAGGCCUACCAAGGCGACGAUCUGUAGCGGGUCUGAGAGGAUGAUCCGCCACACUGGGACUGAGACACGGCCCAGACUCCUACGGGAGGCAGCAGUGGGGAAUAUUGGACAAUGGGGGGAACCCUGAUCCAGCCGUGCCGCGUGUGUGAAGAAGGCCUUAUGGUUGUAAAGCACUUUAAGCGAGGAGGAGGCUCUUUUGGUUAAUACCCAAGAUGAGUGGACGUUACUCGCAGAAUAAGCUCCGGCUAACUCUGUGCCAGCCGCCGCAGUAA